AUGGCUCAGAACGAACGCUGGUGGCGUGUCUAUACAUGCAAGUCGAGCGAGGCAGCAAUGCCGAGCGGCGAACGGGUGAGUAACGCGUAAGCAAUCUGCCCCAUAUCAGGAAAUACCCGUGCCAACGCGCGGUUAAUGUCCAGGAGAGUGGCCCCCUGCAUGGGGGGUUGACUAGAGAUUUAUCGGUAUGGGAUGAGCUUGCGUCCGAUUAGCUAGUUGGCGGGGCAACGGCCACCAAGGCGACGAUCGGUAGCCGGCCUGAGAGGGUGAUCGGCCACAUUGGGACUGAGAUACGGCCCAGACUCCUACGGGAGGCAGCAGUAGGGAAUAUUGCACAAUGGGGGAAACCCUGAUGCAGCAACGCCACGUUGUGGGAAGAAGCAUUUCGGUGUGUAAACCACUGUCAUGAGGGAAUAAGGCCCGCCUUCGGACGGGAUUGAAUGUACCUUGAGAGGAAGCACCGGCAAACUUCGUGCCAGCCGCGGC
rnacentral:rRNA from 1 species